rnacentral:misc_RNA from 1 species
CGUCUUUGUCACCUCCAUCUCUCAAAUUCACAGACAGUACUUUCCUCCAUGUUUACUCUUUGCUGAGAUCUCACCAGCUUCGAUCCAUCUAACUAGUACGGCAUCGCAAUUGGCAUAAUCGAUUGGCCAUGGCUCCUCCGGCACAGUCUCAAAGAUCACCGUCGCCGUCUCAACCGUCCGGAAAAAGCGAAGUUACGGAUUUGAAAACGCAGCUCCGGCAGCUCGCGGGCAGCCGAGCUCCCGGAGUGGACGAUUCUAAGAGGGAGCUCUUCAAGAAGGUCAUUUCCUACAUGACGAUUGGCAUCGAUGUGUCGUCUCUUUUCGGCGAGAUGGUCAUGUGCUCGGCGACCUCCGAUAUCGUCUUGAAGAAAAUGUGUUACCUCUAUGUAGGGAAUUAUGCCAAGGGUAAUCCAGAACUUGCUUUAUUGACGAUCAAUUUUCUUCAAAGAGAUUGUAAGGACGAGGAUCCAAUGAUUAGAGGGCUUGCUUUGAGGAGCUUGUCUUCGUUGCGAGUGGAGAAUCUGGUGGAAUAUUUGGUAGGGCCCUUGGGGUCGGGGUUGAAAGACAAUAAUAGCUAUGUGAGAAUGGUGGCUGUAAUGGGUGUUCUUAAAUUGUAUCAUAUAUCGGCUGCAACUUGUGUUGAUGCAGAUUUUCCAGCAACGCUAAAGCAUUUGAUGCUCCAUGACCCUGACACACAGGUUGUUGCAAAUUGUUUAUCCGCCCUGCAAGAAAUUUGGAGCUCAGAAGCAAGCACUUCUGAGGAGGCUUCAAGGGAGAAAGAAACUUUAAUUAGCAAGCCUGUUAUAUUCUACCUUUUGAAUCGGAUCAAGGAAUUUAGUGAAUGGGCACAGUGUCUUCUGCUUGAAUUGGUUGCUAAAUAUGUACCUGCAGAUAGCAAUGAGAUAUUUGAUAUCAUGAAUCUCCUUGAAGAUAGACUUCAGCAUGCAAAUGGCGCUGUUGUCCUUGCAACCAUCAAAGUGUUUCUACAGUUGACCUUGUCCAUGGCUGAUGUGCAUCAGGAGGUAUAUGAACGUAUUAAAGCUCCUCUGCUUACUUUAGUCAGUUCUGGAAGUCCAGAGCAAUCUUAUGCAGUUUUAAGUCACUUGCAUCUCUUGGUACUGCGUGCACCAUACAUAUUCUCCUCAGAUUACAAACACUUCUAUUGCCAGUACAAUGAACCAUCUUAUGUCAAAAAAUUGAAGCUUGAAAUGUUGACUGCAGUUGCAAAUGAGACCAAUACUUAUGAAAUUGUGACAGAAUUAUGUGAAUAUGCUGCAAAUGUUGAUAUUCCGAUUGCAAGAGAGUCAAUUCGGGCUGUUGGAAAGAUAGCACUGCAGCAGUAUGAUGUGAAUGCUAUUGUUGAUAGGCUGCUUCAGUUUUUGGAGAUGGAAAAGGACUAUGUGACUGCUGAAGCUUUGGUUCUUGUUAAAGAUCUACUGAGGAAAUACCCUCAAUGGAGUCAUGAUUGCAUCGCAGUUGUUGGGAAUAUCAGCAGCAAAAAUGUUCAAGAACCCAAGGCCAAAGCAGCUCUUAUAUGGAUGUUAGGGGAAUAUUCUCAGGACAUGAAUGAUGCUCCUUAUAUUCUAGAGGGUUUAACUGAGAAUUGGGAUGAUGAGCAUUCUGCUGAGGUUCGUUUGCAUCUCCUCACAGCAGUAAUGAAAUGUUUUUUUAAGAGACCACCUGAGACUCAGAAAGCAUUAGGAGCUGCACUAGCUGCAGGCCUUGCUGAUUUCCACCAGGAUGUUCAUGAUAGAGCCUUGUUCUACUACAGGCUAUUGCAAUACAAUGUGUCAAUUGCAGAACGUGUUGUGAAUCCUCCAAAGCAACCUGUUUCUGUCUUUGCUGAUACGCAUAGCAGUGAAAUAAAAGAUCGCAUUUUUGAUGAAUUUAAUAGCCUCUCUGUGGUGUACCAAAAGCCAUCUUACAUGUUCACUGAUAAAGAACACCGGGGACCAUUUGAGUUUUCAGAUGAGCUUGGCAAUUUAUCUAUUGGGGCAGAAGCUACAAAUGAUGUUGUACGAGCAAAUAGAGUUGAGGCAAAUGAUCAGGAUCUGCUUCUAAGUACUUCAGAGAAAGAAGAAAGCAGAGGUGCCAGUAAUAAUGGUUCUGCAUAUAGUGCUCCUUUAUAUGAUGCUUCAUCAGUGUCUGCUGCUGCUUCACAAGCACAAUCAGAUUCAUUGAUUUCAAACCUUGAAGUAGCAGGUCCUCAGGCUAGCUUUGCCAUUGAUGAUUUGCUAGGUCUUGGUCUACCAGCAGCACCUGCACCUCCUCCUUUGAAGCUUAAUUCCAGAGCUGUCCUAGAUCCGGCCACUUUUCAGCAAAAAUGGCGCCAACUACCAAUAUCUGUAUCACAGGAGCAUUCUCUAAAUCCUCAAGGAGUUGCAGCAUUGACGGCACCUCAAGCCCUCCUCCGUCACAUGCAAUCCCAUUCCAUUCAAUGCAUUGCAUCAGGUGGUCAAUCGCCCAAUUUCAAGUUUUUCUUCUUUGCUCAAAAAGCAGAAGAAUCAUCUAUUUAUCUUGUAGAAUGUAAAAUCAACACAUCAUCAGCUAAAGCACAGAUAACUAUCAAAGUUGAUGAUCAGAAUACUUCCCAGGAGUUCUCAACUUUGUUCCUAUCAGCCUUGUCCAAGUUUGGUUUUCCAUGAACCCUUGCAAGUUUUCUCGCUAGUUACCAGCAGAAAAUAGGUAUUUUUGUUUUUUUUCCUUAGUUGCCUCAGGAAGAAUGGAAAGUGAAAAAUGAAAUAAAAGAAAAGAGAAAGAAAUCCGUUGUUGGUCUGCUGUAGAUGAGUGUAUAAUGAGACUGAAAAAGAGGAGUUUUCUUUGCCUUUUAUUUUUAUAGUUCUCUAUGAGGAUGCUAUUGUUGCUUAAUUUCUACACCAUUUUGUCCAGCCUUCUUCUAUCCUGUGUGGCAAGUUUCUAGAGGGAGAAAUGUUUGUUGGCAGAGAUGCAAAUGUGGAGCUACUGUGAUUUUCUUCUUUUCGGGAAUUACCAUGAAGGGAUUAAUUUUUUUUAUUUUAUGAUUUUUUUUUGGCAGGUGUAAUCUCAUUUUAAAUUUACCUAUUGAGUGAUUAUAUCCCUACUUUCAGCAGUGUAUAAUUUAUCCAAAAUAAAAAUAAAUUUCUACCAUGGUUUCAUCAACUAUAUAGACGCUUGUCAAGAGCAUAUUUGGUGGUUGUACGGUAUUGCAGCCUAUUUGAGCUUGUUAACAAGCUUAGCAGAGCAGCACUAACGUGGGUGAUUAAGCUGCGAGGUUUUGAUUUCAGUUUGGUUUUUUGUAAUAAUCGGAAUCAUAAUUGAAUUUUAAUUUUUUUCAUUUUUUAGAAUUAGAGGAGAAAUCAAAUUUUAGUUUUAAUUUCGGUUCAAUUUUAAAUGCUUUUGGUUGCA